AAAAAGGAAAGAUAAGAGUAACUAUCAAAUCCAGAGAAGCAUGAGAUCAUUAUUAAAGCUUGUAAGUGGUGAUCAUAUACCAGAGAGUCUCGGUCGGUGGUAACUGAAUUACGCAAAAUCGAACCAAUGUUUGUCGUCAAGUUCUGAAGAGAGAUCUUGGACGUGCCUAACUCCUGGGAUGCUUAAUAACAGGAAAUUCUUUCCAAGUCGUCAUCUCUUAAUUCAAGAGGCUGAUGAUCAAACAACCUGCGCGCCGGAUCUCCACCACAUACGGGUAAUAGUGUCUCUGAAACAAGGAAGAUUCGUUAAUAUUGGAUUAAAGGAGCAGCAUCAUUAUAAUUCCUUACAUCAUUUGCCUCAGAAUUUGUCACCUACAGCAUUAAUAGAGCACUGAUCAAUGAACUAGAUAGAUAUAAUGUAACAUAAUCAUCAACGGCAGUUCUGAAGUUUAGAUACACACAGGUGGUAGGUCACUAAUAGCAUCAGCCAGCGUAAGAGCGUUGUCUAAUUGAAGAAGCUCCUUUUGAAUAAGUCCAACUUGUAAAUCCUGCAUUUACAACAGAUGAAUAAGCAAUGAAAUUAUAAGUGUCUUUUAAAUUUAAAUGUACAACCGUCCACACUUGCCUCA